GUGUUUUGUAAUUGCCCUGACAAUGUAAGGAAUGAUAUUUGUGAGGGUGAGUCAACAACACCUUCCCUGUUGGUAUUCUGCCCUCUAAUAACCCGGCGGGCUGGAUCCCCAGCACCUGGAAGGAGUCAUCAUGGAACGUUAAUAAGGAGGAAGGCUGGUGCUGGCGCCUGGAACGCUUCAGAGACAGAAAGCAGUGACUAGGCCAGACAGGCCCCUUGUUUCUGCGCUUUGAGAUAGAAGUGAGAAAUGGAAAAUAGUCUCUUUAUCUUCUCAGCAAAUACAGCCUAUGCUCAGAAUGUCUCCGACUUCCCAUCUCUGAGAUGCCAGCUGCCCAGUUCCAUGGAAUCAUGGCAAGCGAGAAACUGUCGUUCAUAAGAGUUCAAGAAAAUGAAUAUUCUCUCAACUCCGUGAGGGCCAGUGGGUUCCAGGGUACUCAACUUGCUGGAGUCAUCUCUGCUAUGGCUUUAUUUGCGAACAACAGAGAACUUGCUCUGCAGCAGCCGCAGGCUCUCUGGGGACCCCACAGGCUGUGCAGAUCCCCCACCCCAGAACCACAGAAAGAGACGGAGCAGGAGCACACCCCGUCUCCCAGGCCCAGGACAGCUGCUGAGCUCCAGAACACGGACUCUUGAAGGUUGAUUUUGACUACCUACUAAGCUCCAGCUGAACCAGUUCCACUUCUUUAACCUUCCCAUGAUCCCUGUGAGGGGUCCGUGGUGUUGCUAUUUGCAGGUGAAGAAAGUGAGAUUGAGGGAGGCUGAAAGACCUGGCCCCAAGUCACAGUGCCCCGCUGAAUAUGGUGCUGCCUACUGGAUAUCCUGGGUGCUUCAACAUCAGCAGCUCUCGGCAAGUGAGUGGGCCAUGGACAAGGGACAUGGGGGAGCAAGCCCAGCUGCACGGUUCCAGCUCUUUCCGCCACAUCACAGCUUCUGCAGUUGGAAAGCCAGAACAGUGAUCUUCAGUUUGUUCAUCAAAGGGCCAAGAAAUCUGUGUCCCCACCUUCUCUGCUUCAAUUCUGGUGCUGCUUAAGCCAAUUAUCAUUUCAUGCCCUAAACCAAAAAAUAAACUCUACAAACAUCAACAUUACAUAGGACAGGAUCUGGCCCACAGAUUGGGGGCAGGAGCUGCUUUUUCAAUGAGAAGAAUGAACAGACCUAGUAGGCAUUGCCUUUAGACCCAGGUAAGAGGAAUCCCAGCCUUGGGACAGCACUUUCAAGGGCUAAGCCCAUAAGCCAUCCUUCUAGAACAUUCUCUGGGUAGCUAGGGCUUCAUAAUUCACUUGCUGGGUUUGUCCUCCCUGAGUGGACUGUGUUGUUGGUGUGCACACCUGUAUUUCCAUGGAAUGGUAUCUUAGUCCUGCUGCUAUAACAGAAUGCCUGAGACUGAAAAUGUAUAAACAAUAGACAUUUAUUUCUCACAGUUCUGGAGGCUGGGAAAUCAAGAUCGAGGCACCAGCUGGUUUGGUGUCUGGCGAGGGCUGCUCUCUGCUUCCAAAAUGGUGCCUUGGGGCUGUGCGUGAUGGCUCAUACCUAUAAUCCCAGCACUUUGGGAGGCCGAGGUGGGCAGAUCACCUGAGGUCAGGAGGUUGAGACCAGCCUGGCCAACAUGGUGAAAACCCCAUCCCUACUAAAAAUACAAAAAAUUAGCCGGGCGUGGUGUUGCAUGCCUGUAAUUCCAGCUACUUGGGAGGCUGAGGCAAGAGAAUUGCUUGAACCCGGGAGGCAGAAUUUGCAGUGAGCCAAGAUUGCACCACUGCACUCUAGCCUGAGUGACAGAGCGAGACUCUGUCUCAAAAGACAAACAAAAAACCAAAAUGGUGCCUCAUUGCUGGAUAUUCCAAAGAGGAUGAAUGUAUGUUCUCGAAUGACAGAAAAGACAGAAGGGCAGAAAGUGUCCAAACUCACUCCAUCAAUCCCUUUUAUAAGGUGCUAAUCACUCCCUAAAUGCCCCAUCUCUUAUUACUGUUGCACUGGGGAUUCAGUUUCAGCAUGAGUUUUGGAGGGAUACAGACAUUCAAACCACAGCAUUGUGCACACUCCUUUUUCUAUGGAAUGGCCAAGGCGCGGCUAUUUGCAGAGGCUCUGACAGAGCUCUGCUGUGGAGCUGGGGUGUCCACGUGCCUGUAUGGAAGAACUUCCAUGGCACCGGAGCCUGGUGGGAAGAGAAGUGGGCUGGGCUAUAGGCUGGGCACCAGGGACUAUCACCUCGUGCCACCACAUUUAGUGUGGAGUUCCAGAGAGGCCACAAAUUCUUCAUUUGAACUGGACUCCCCAGCCUCGUGUUCCUCUGCAGGAUGUAAAAGGUAAUGCCAGCAGACAGUGGCAGUGCUGGAGGCGCCUGGCGGGCAGAGGUUACCUGGCUGGAGUGGCAGGCGUGAGGAGAUGCCUCCCAGCAUAAGGAAUGUGGGCUUCUGUUGGAUCUCUUGUUCCAGGCCCCACACAUGUUCGAGGCAGCCUGGGUAUGUCUUGGCCCGCUCAAUCCCUCAGAGCCCUGUUUAAUUCUCAGCUUGCUGUCACCUAUGUGGUGCCAAGAAACAAGUCACCAAAAUAAUGAAAUGCCUACCUAAGCUUAAAAACAAAACCAUGAGGUCUUUCUAAAUAAAUUAUGAUGAAGUGCAAACUGCAGCUCCCUGUAAUGAUUUCAAAGACUCCGUUCCAAGAAUGCAUUAAUUUAAAAAGGGAGUAUAAGGCAAAGGGGGGUGAUUAGAAGAGGAAGGCAGCUGACAUCAAACUGAAUAUGCCAAGUUUCCUCCUCAAAAACAAGUGUGCAUUAUGUGUGGUGACCAUUCUUGGUAUUGUUCUGUUGCUGUAAAGCACAGCAUAGCAUCAUUCUUUUAGAUGCCAUUCAUUUAAUAUGUGGGUAAAUGUACAUGGUUAGGCUAGACUGGAGCGCUCGUCUACACUGCUUAAAAGAAAAGAUUUACUAAGAAAAUUCAAAGGACAAACAAGGUGCAAAGGGAAUGUUAGGUUUAAUUAAGAAAUCAGCUCUUUAAAGGGCUUAACCAGAAUAAUUGUUGGUAUGCAGAUGGGGUUGUGAAUUAUAAAUGACUCAUCCAUUCUUUGAAGGAUGAUCUCUUCUUGGAAAAGGUUCUCUUCUUGGAAAGACUUGGGGAGCAUUUUAAGUUUUUGAAGGCCAGGCGUGGUGGCUUAUGCCUGUAAU